AAGAUUAGCCUGCGUCCGAUUAGCUAGUUGGUGGGGUAAGGGCCUACCAAGGCGACGAUCGGUAGCUGGUCUGAGAGGAUGACCAGCCACACUGGAACUGAGACACGGUCCAGACUCCUACGGGAGGCAGCAGUGGGGAAUAUUGGACAAUGGGGGGAACCCUGAUCCAGCAAUGCCGCGUGUGUGAAGAAGGCCUGAGGGUUGUAAAGCACUUUCAGUGGGGAGGAGGGUUGACAGGUUAAGAGCUGGUUGACUGGACGUUACCCACAGAAGAAGCACCGGCUAACUCCGUGCCAGCAGCCGCGGUAAUACGGAGGGUGCGAGCGUUAAUCGGAAUUACUGGGCGUAAAGGGUGCGUAGGUGGUUUGAUAAGUUAUCUGUGAAAGCCCUGGGCUCAACCUGGGAACUGCAGAUAAGACUGUUGGACUCGAGUAUAGGAGAGGGUAGUGGAAUUUCCGGUGUAGCGGUGAAAUGCGUAGAGAUCGGAAGGAACACCAGUGGCGAAGGCGGCUACCUGGCCUAAUACUGACACUGAGGCACGAAAGCGUGGGGAGCAAACAGGAUUAGAUACCCUGGUAGUCCACGCUGUAAACGAUGUCAACUAGCUGUUGGUCUUAUGAAUGAGAUUAGUGGCGCAGCAAACGCGAUAAGUUGAC
rnacentral:rRNA from 1 species